AGAAGGAGCUCAGGGCCUGAGGUGGACAAUCAUAGAUGAUGCGGCUAACAGUCCAGAGGAAUCCAAGAGAAGAAGGAGCUCAGGGCCUGAGGUGGACAAUCAUAGACAGUAGUCAACUCUAGUUUUAUGUUAUUAAUGUCAGUGAGGCUGAUGUUCAUGUCUGCAGUAACAGUAACAGUCCAGAGGAAUCCAAGAGAAGAAGCUCAGGGCUUGAGGUGGACAAUCAUAGAUGAUGCGGCUAACAGUCCAGAGGAAUCCAAGAGAAGAAGGAGCUCAGGGCCUGAGGCGGACAAUCGUAGACGAUGCGGCUAGAGUCAGGCAGGU